AACCAGGGAAUUACAGUUGUCAGCCAAUAAGAAGCAAGGCCUCCGUAUCUUAUCUACUGUGGAUUCUGAGUAUGUGAGCCUUUUUGUGCAGACAGUGUUCUCGGCAUGUUCUCAUACUUUUCCUAAACAGCAUUUACUUACAUUUCCCGAAUACAUUUGAAUUAAACUAAACAAGGGAAACAGACGUCUGCUGAAGAACAAACCUGCUUCCGCUGCCUUCACAAUAUAUAUACUGUAUAGGAAGAUCAAGUGAUUGUGGUUGAAGCGGCUGUUGGGCUGCUGCUGCCAUUACAUUUUGACUGUAUGGAUCUUUAACAUUUUUUCACGAAAAAAGGAUGCUACUGAAAUUGCAGCUGCGGGGAAUAUUACACCAGGGGCACCAAGCACAGAGGCAGAAGGAAUAAACUGACCACUGCCUUCGGAUGCACCCACCAAACAUCGGAACAGAUCUCUUAGCAAGGCCUUCUCAUAGCUUGUUCUGCUGCAGUCCUGUGAGUCUCCAUCAUCGAUUUAUCUGGCUGAGUACAGUACAGCAUUUGAGCCAACACUUCCAGAGACCCCGUGGAAAGAAGAACCAGUGUGUAAAAUUGUCCAUAGAAACAUGGACAUGGAUAUAAUAAUGAUGCCGGAGUACCAGGAAGCAUGUUGGCCUCUGAAGAUAAUAUGGGAGCGCAUUAACCAUGCAUACAGUUCAGAUACUCCUCCUAAGGACUGGGGACUUCAAAAAGGGGACUAUGGCAUCCAAACCUGGGUCUUCACAUCUAACAAUGAAAAAUACUAUGUGGUCUGGGAUUCUCACUGCUCCUAUUGGAAGGUGAACACUCCGUUUGGACAGUGUUUGGUUUUUAUAGGACCACUGUUCAUCAACAAAGAAAGGACGGGUCUAGCUGUACCGCCGUUAUUCAAUGUCAACAUGUCUGAUACAGAUACACUGAUGCCGACCUUGUUUCCAGAGGUGAAAGAGCAAAUGGAAAAAAUUGUGCAAUUUGUGGUUAAGCCUUACCGCAGCAAAGCAUCAUGAGAUACAAACGGUAUGCGUUCCAUAGUGAUUGAUGAUAACCCAUUGUUUUAAGUCACAUUCAAAAGUUUAGUUUAUUUAAAUAAGAUAUUUAAAUGAUCUCCAAGGCAUGGAGCUGUCACAUUUUAGUGGGGGGGAGGGGUUUUCUGUUGUAGUAGGUGGCCGCAGACCCAUUUUGGAAAUGUUAAAUAUCUUGAUACAUAGUUGGUGAGGUUGAAAAAGGACUAGUAGUCCAUCGAGUUCAACCUGAGUUAUAUUGCAUUCCCUAUUCUAUUUAGGUUAAAGGCUAUAUCCUCGUAUAUCUUUUUCCGUUAGGAAUUUGUCUACCCCAUUUUGUAACGCAUUGGAUGAGUCCGCCAUUACAACCUUCUCUGGCAGUGUAUUCCAUAUUCGACUUGUCCUUACAGUGAAUAUUCCCUUCCUGCGCUGAGUACAAAAUUUCUUCUCCUCAAGCCUUAGAUUGAUUGUUGGAUAUUCACUGAGGGGGUGCUGAUUGGGGGUCUUUUAAUACAAUAAAUGGGAUGGAGAUGUCUUUUACUCCAACAAAAUUAAAACCCUGACGUCUACAUGGGUGCAAUAUGCAGAAGCUGAAUGUGCAAGGCCUGAGAUGUCCACUAUCAGCACUUGGGCAAGCAAUAACAUGGCCGGCUGUUCUAGACCAUCCACCAUCAACCCUUACACUAGCCCUAUGGCAGGUGCAGUUUCUCUGUCUGAACAUGGGCCCGGGGUGGAAGCGGCUCUGCAUCUGGGAACGCAGCCAUUUUCACUGACACUCUCAGGAGAUGGACUUCUUUUUUGCAUUGACUUUGUGCAUACAUUCGGGGUAAUGCAUGCGCCAUAUGGUUUUUUGCACAUGCUUAGUAUGUGAACUUUGGUUUUGGCCCAUAAUAUCAAUACAAGCCAUUCUCUUUAAAUGGAUCUUACAGCAACUAUGAGCUAUGAAAACUGGACCAGGCAUUGUGAAGGAAGAAUUGGUUGGACCUCCAUUAUUGAUAAGGCCAAUAUGGUCCUGGUUGUCCGUGCUAUUACAUUACUUUCCAGCAGACAUAAAUAGUGGCAGAAGCUCAAUUAUCUUAGUGAUAUCAUUCAGGUGCUUGAAAGGGAGGGGUAUUUCUAAGCAAGAAAGAAAAGGCAUUUUGUUUCCCCAAGCACCCUGAACGAUAACAGUAACCAGAUUUAAAUCCCACACAAUACUAGAAUUCAGAGAUCUCAGUUACAUAUAUUUGCGCAAAUGUAUGAAUAAGCCCCAAAGCCGCAUCAAAGCGUUUCUGUAUAUUUGGGGUCCCUAGCGCUAUAUCUAGGUGCAGGGUGUGGCACCCCAAAACACCAACAUAAGCCAGAAAGCCCAGGGCAGCAUACCAGUGAAAAAACUAUAGUGUUAAUAAAUUAGUGUUAGGAAGCCGAAGCUAUAAAGGUGAUACAAAAAUGAGAUGUAAUUAAAAUGGAGAAAUAGUGUUAAAGAAAUUAGUAUGUGAAAAGUGUUAUUAGAAUGUACCACACCCCACAUCUCCAUUACCCCAAUCUGGGUCUAUGAUUAACCAGCAAGGAGCCACAUGAUAAUGGCUCCUUACUUAAAUAUAUCUAAGCUAAGAGCUACCUACCUUGGAGCAACCCCAUAAUGCUCCAUAUGGCAUAGAGGCAGAGGUUCCUGCAUUAGGAGGAGGUGCAGGCCCUGACAUGCCAUAUGGAGCAUUAUGGGGUUGUGUGAUUAUUGAAUGCUUUUACUGCAUAAUUGAGUGUAUUUAACUCUCUUAAGUUAUCUACACGUUAUACUUGCUAAAAAUAAUUGUGAAGAAUGAAUAAACUGCUGUAUAGAGAAGAUGUUCAGAAAUAAUUUUCAUUUUCCUGGAAUAAAUGUAACAUGGAUAAAG